GUCGUUUUGGUAAGAAAAAGUUGCUGAAAUUAGCUAAAUUCCAUUCUGAUGACUUUAAUCAGAAAGAUAUGGUGACUCUUGAGCAUGAGUUUGGCCUCUACAUUGAUAAUAUACUCCAUGACAAGGUUAAUCAAGAUAUAAAACCGUUGUGUAAGGUCUGUCCACUUUAGUGAUAAAUAAACUCGUCGUGUUGUUAUUGGAUUAAUAUCUUUUAUUAGAGCUUGGUUGAAAUAGCUUAUG
rnacentral:lncRNA from 1 species